GUCAACAUCCUUAACGAAUGUAAUCACGUUCUAACCUGUUGAACGUUAUCUUAGAUAACCGUAAGCACGCUUUCGGCACCUGAGCAACUUUCAGAGGCCAGACGGAUAGCCCAAGGGGUAUUCGUUGCAAUCCUCAGCCUCAAUCACCACAUCUACCAGAGGCUAUAACACUUCAACCGAAAUCGAAGCUACAUUCCGCCGGUCAUUUUAUGAUAAUCGAAACUGACGUUGGCCUACCAUACGAAAAAGUACACCCAAAACGCACAAACAUGCAAACAGCGAGGCCGAAACUCACGCACGCCCACAAGUACGCACACGAUAAGUUGAUUUCUCGUCGGUACGACUGACUUCAAUCGUUUCCCUUUCAA
rnacentral:rRNA from 1 species